rnacentral:rRNA from 1 species
GAUGAACGCUGGCGGCGUGCCUAAUACAUGCAAGUCGAGGGAAAACACGAGGAGCUUUCUCUUCCGACGUUAGCCGCGCACGUGUGAGUAACACGUGGAUCCUCCACCUAUCAGACUGGGAUCACUUCGGGAAACCGGCGCUUACACCGGAUAAUAUAUUUAACCGCAUGGUAUAUUAGUUAAAGACGUUUUUGUUGUCACUUAUAGAUCGUUCCGCUCCGCAUUAGCUAGUUGGUAAGGUAACGGCUUACCAAGUCAAUGAUGCGUUGCCGACCUGAGAGGGUGAUCAGCCACCCUAGAACGGAGACACGGUCCAGACUCCUACGGGAGGCAGCAGUAGGGAAUGUUACGCAAUGGGCGAAAGCUUGACGGGGCAACGCCGCGUGAGUGAUGAAGGUCUUCGGAUCGUAAAACUCUGUUAUUAGGGAAGAACAAAUGUGUAAGUAACUAUGCACGUAUUGACGGUACCUAAUCAGAAAGCAACGGCUAACUACGUG